CGCACCUUGCGCUCCUUGGUAUUCCGAGGAGCAUGCCUGUUUGAGUGUCUUGAAAUCAUCAACCCCUUCCGUUUCGUGCGGGACGCGGGUUGGAGCUGGGGGACUGCGGUCGCGAGGCCGCUCCCCUCAAAUGCGUCGGUUGGGCCUGCGGGUCGGACUCGGUUGGGCGUUGUACCAUCCUCGCUCCUCUCCGAGACCGUUUUCCCCGUCUACUUGUGCCCGCCUUCGACUGCUGAUGCAAGCGGCAGUCAAGCAAAACUUUGAAAUCUGACCUCAAAUCAGGUAGGACUACCCGCUGAACUUAA
rnacentral:misc_RNA from 1 species